UACGUAGGGUGCAAGCGUUGUCCGGAAUUAUUGGGCGUAAAGAGCUCGUAGGCGGUUUGUUGCGUCGGCUGUGAAAUCCCGAGGCUCAACCUCGGGCCUGCAGUCGAUACGGGCAGACUAGAGUUCGGUAGGGGAGACUGGAAUUCCUGGUGUAGCGGUGAAAUGCGCAGAUAUCAGGAGGAACACCGGUGGCGAAGGCGGGUCUCUGGGCCGAAACUGACGCUGAGGAGCGAAAGCGUGGGGAGCGAACAGG
rnacentral:rRNA from 1 species